rnacentral:rRNA from 1 species
CAGUAGCCGCGGGAAUACGUAGGGUGCAAGCGUUAAUCGGAAUUACUGGGCGUAAAGCGUGCGCAGGCGGUUUGUUAAGACAGAUGUGAAAUCCCCGGGCUCAACCUGGGAACUGCAUUUGUGACUGGCAAGCUAGAGUAUGGCAGAGGGGGGUGGAAUUCCGCGUGUAGCAGUGAAAUGCGUAGAUAUGCGGAGGAACACCGAUGGCGAAGGCAGCCCCCUGGGCCAAUACUGACGCUCAUGCACGAAAGCGUGGGGAGCAAACAGGAUUAGAUACCCGUGUAGUCCCUGUCUCUUAUAA